GACAGAGGGUGCAAACGUUGUUCGGAAUUACUGGGCGUAAAGCGAGUGUAGGCGGGUCGGUAAGUCGGAUGUUAAAGCCCCGGGCUCAACCCGGGAAGUGCACUCGAUACUGCCGAGCUAGAGUAUCGGAGAGGUUGGUGGAAUUCUCGGUGUAGAGGUGAAAUUCGUAGAUAUCGAGAGGAACACCGGUGGCGAAGGCGGCCAACUGGACGAAUACUGACGCUGAGACGCGAAAGCGUGGGGAGCGAACAGG
rnacentral:rRNA from 1 species